rnacentral:rRNA from 1 species
GAUGAACGCUGGCGGCGUGCCUAAUACAUGCAAGUAGAACGCUGAAGGAGGAGCUUGCUCUUCUGGAUGAGUUGCGAACGGGUGAGUCACGCGUAGGUAACCUGCCUGGUAGCGGGGGAUAACUAUUGGAAACGAUAGCUAAUACCGCAUGACAACAGUUAUUGCAUGAUAACUGUUUAAAAGGGGCAACUGCUCCACUACCAGAUGGACCUGCGUUGUAUUAGCUAGUUGGUGAGGUAACGGCUCACCAAGGCGACGAUACAUAGCCGACCUGAGAGAGUGAGCGGCCACACUGGGAGUGAGACACGGCCCAGACUCCUACGGGAGGCAGCAGUAGGGAAUCUUCGGCAAUGGACGGAAGUCUGACCGAGCAACGCCGCGUGAGUGAAGAAGGUUUUCGGAUCGUAAAGCGCUGUUGUAAGAGAAGAACGAGUGUGAGAGUGGAAAGUUCACACUGUGACGGUAGCUUACCAGAAAGGGACGGCUAACUACGUG